GGCCCAGUGGCCUAAUGGAUAAGGCAUCAGCCUCCGGAACUAGGGAUUGUGGGUUCAAGUCCCACCUGGGUCG
rfam:Danio rerio chromosome 1, GRCz11 reference primary assembly.